rnacentral:misc_RNA from 2 species
CAACCCUCAAGCCCAGCUUGGUGUUGGGGCCCUACGGUCGACGUAGGCCCUUAAAGGUAGUGGCGGACCCUCCCGGAGCCUCCUUUGCGUAGUAACUUAACGUCUCGCACUGGGAUCCGGAGGGACUCUUGCCGUAAAACCCCCAAAACUUUUACA